rnacentral:rRNA from 1 species
CACGGAAUUAGCCGGUCCUUAUUCGUAUGGUACCUGCAAAUAGGGACACGUCCCUAACUUUAUCCCCAUACAAAAGCAGUUUACAACCCAUAGGGCCGUCAUCCUGCACGCUACUUGGCUGGUUCAGACUUCCGUCCAUUGACCAAUAUUCCUCACUGCUGCCUCCCGUAGGAGUUUGGACCGUGUCUCAGUUCCAAUGUGGGGGACCUUCCUCUCAGAACCCCUACUGAUCGUUGCCUUGGUGGGCCGUUACCCCGCCAACAAGCUAAUCAGACGCAUCCCCAUCCAUUACCGAUAAAUCUUUACUUCAAAUCUGAUGCCGUCAUCGAAGACUAUGCGGUAUUAGUCUGCCUUUCGGCAGGUUAUCCCACAGUAAUGGGAAGGUUGGAUACGCGUUACUCACCCGUGCGCCGGUCGACGUCCAAAGAGUGCAAGCACUCAAUGCCGUUUCCCCUCGACUUGCAUGUGUUAAGCCUGUAGCUAGCGUUCAUCCUGAGCCAGGAUCAAACUCU